AUACCAUUAGCCAGGUCUGCCACCUGUUAACUGUUGUUGUCCUACUGGUAAAUUACGAAAAGGGCUAUUUGUAAUAGAACCAUGGUAAGGUGUUGCAUAGGUACAUUCUGAAAGCUGAUUAAGUCUUUCAUGUCUAUAUUCAGUGCAUCUCAAACAAAUGCAAACUGGUAAAAUGUGCACUAAAUAAUGAGCAUGACAGGUUUUAAGUUCAUGCAAUAACCUCAUAAAAUCUUCUGCACUUAUAUGUCCCUGUGAAUUAACUCCAUGUAAAUUAAGUAAAAAUAAAACUCAUUAAUGACAGAACGAUACAUUGGUUUGAUAUAAAGCGAAUGAAUUGCAACAGCAUUUUUUGCACUGAUUUUUCGUGGCAGAAGCAGUUUAACAAAGUCUGUUUCCAGUUGGAACUUUUCAAUCAGUGGAACAAGAAGAGCUGUUUUGCCCUCUCUACAUCUUUUUACUUCACUAUUGUCAUUUACUAAUCAUUUAAAUAAAAAGCCUAAUGUAAAAUUGCGAUUAUACUCCGAUAAAAUAAUUUCUAUUUCUAUUACAUCAUUUUCAUUUUGCAUUUGCAUAUAAUUAUUAACAACAUCUAAUAAAAACUCACUUCUUUUUAGUGCUAAAUGAACUUUGGUCUGGGGCGCAAUGGUAACCACACUGGGUUCAUCAUCAUGACCAAAGUUUAAAUGAAGAAUUAGCUUAUUCAUGAUAGAAUUGCAAUAUCCCUUUUCCUUUUUUUUUCCUAACUUUUUAAUUAUAGUUCCCUAUUAAGAAUUAUAUUCUUGCCCGCCCCAAAAAGGAAAAAGGAUAGAAUCAGAUAUGUUUUCAAGAUGCUUCUACACCAUAGCAAACCUUCAGACAAUCAUGUGGAUAUUGUUUUUAAAACACUCUUUGAAUGUCCAAACAUUUGGUCUUUAAUGUGACCCUUGAAGGUUAAUCAAGAAUCAACAAAAUAUAGUUUAAUAUAUCCAAUUAUCUUUAACAAUGACAAAAUAUAAACAGUUUAUAAAUUAUUCUUAUAAUUCAUCAUUGCAGUGGGUCAAACAGCAUAACACUUCUAUAGGCCACGGUGGACUGAAUAUAAUAUAUAUUAACUAGAGGCUCUCUAAAGAGCCUGUGUCGCUCACCUUGGCAUAUGUGAAUUAAACACAGGAAGCAGACAGUUCAUGACAAAAUUUGGUUAAGGUGAUUGGGAUGUGUUUGAACAUCUUACUUUACUGAACAUUUUUGCUGCUUACAAUUAUCUGUGUCUAUAAUGAACUUGUCCGUGUAGUUUCAGUGGAAAAUGUUAGUAAAAAUUUACAAAUUUUAUGAAAAUUUUUAAAAAUUGAUUAUAAAGGACAAUUACUUCUUAGGGGGUCAAUUGACCAUUUUGGUCAUUUUGACUUAUUUUUGAGUCUUAAAUUGCUGUACAUUAUUGCUGUUUACAGUUUAUCUCUAUCUAUAAUAAUAUUCAAGAUAAUAACCCAAAACAGCAAAAUUUCCUUAAAAUUACCAAUUUAGGGGCAGCAACCUAACAACGCGUUGUCCGAUUCAUCUAAAUAUUUCAGGGCAGAUAGAUCUUGACCAGAUAAACAAUGUUACUUCUUGUCAGAUUUGCUCUAAAUGCUUUGGUUUUUGAGUUAUAAGCCGAAAACUGCAUUUUACCCCUAUGUUCUAUUUUUAACCGUAGCGACCAUCUUGGUUGGUUAGCCCGGUCACAAAACACAAUUUUUAAACUUAAUAGCCUAAUAAUGAUUCUGGCAAUGUUUGGUAAAAUUUGGCUAAGUAGUUUCAGAGAAGAAGAUUUUUGAAAAAGUUAACUUAGAUUUACGAAAAAAUUGUUAAAAAUGGACUAUAAAGGGCAAUAACUCCUAAAGGGGUCAACUGACCAUUUUGGUUCUAGUGACUUAUUUGUAAAUCUUACUUUGCUGAACAUUUUUGCUGUGUACAGUUUAUAUCUAUCCAUAAUAAUAUUCAAGAUAAUAACCAAAAACAGUAAAAUUUCCUUAAAAUUACCAAUUUAGGGGCAGCAACCCAACAAUGGGUUGUCUGAUUCAUCUGAAAAUUUCAGGGCAGAUAGAUCUUGACCAGAUAAACAAUUUUACCCAUUGUCAGAUUUGCUCUAAAUGCUCUAAAUGCUUUGGUUUUUGAGUAAUAACCAAAAACUGCAUUUAACCUCCAUAUUCUAUUUUUAGCCGUGGCGGUCAUCUUGGUUGGUUGGCCGGGUCAAAAAACACAAUUUUCUAGAUACAUCAAUGAUGAUUGUGGCCAAGUAUGGAUUAAUUUGGCCCAGUAGUUUCAGAGAGGAAGAUUUUUGUAAAAGAUCAUGGAGAUUUACGAAAAAUGACUAAAAUUGACUAUAAAGGGCAAU
rnacentral:lncRNA from 1 species